UAUAUAUAUAAUAUGAACUGGAUAUAAACAGGUACAGUGUCAGUGCAGAGGGUUUAUUUAUUAUUACAUUUGAGAAGUUGCCUUGUUUUACCAAAAAAAAGAAGAAAAAAGCAGAACAAAUCUAAGUGCAUUGUACAUCUGUUACAGCAGCUCCAGACAGGACAGCCUGCUGAGACUGAGUCACUGCAACACUGCAGAUUGCCACCAGAUCAUUUUUAUAAAUGUAUAAAGACUUGUAUCACAACUUUUUGUCUCUUAGUUAAUGAAAAGAUAUACAUGAAUUUGAAAAUCUUGUAAGAUAUGGGCAGAUUGCAAUGCAACUUUUACAGAAUAAUAUACGUAAUUUUAUUGUAUUGAAAAUGUGUCCACCAAAAUAUUGCUGAUAGUUUUUAUUGUUACAAAGGUACUAUUGCUAUAUCUUUGUCAUCAACUAUUGUAUGAGCAAAUUACAAUCUAGUGUAUCUUAUAGAUACUGUUAUCUGGCAUGAGCUGAACAGAUUAAAAUAUUUUAUUCAGGGGAACUGACAAACAUAAGGGUAUUACUGUAUACAUUUUGUACUGGAUAUCAUUUUAAACUAAUAAAAUGUUAAAAAGCUUUAGCAACAUCGCUCAAGUCUUAAAAGAAUGACUGUGUUCCAUUCAAUGGUAUUUCUCUCUGCAGCUUUUAAGUAGAAAUCUGUGAAGGGUGUCACACACUGGUGAAACUGGCCAUCGACCAACCCUGACAUCCAGCAGGUGAAGCAUUUGUAAAUUCCUGAAUAUAUGCCUUCAGGAGGAGACAGUGACUCUGCUGUUUUCACACAGGCCUCAGAUUCCUCAGGUGCACAGCAGCUGCUGAUAUUUGAAUCCUCACACGAUAACUUCUGUUGAGCCGCCUCUGACGAGACUGCUCACCUGUGCACCUGUGUGAUAACGUGAUGCUUCUAUGGGGAACUAUCACUGGGGCCUCAGCAGCGGAGAUGUGGUGAGAUUUGCAUGAGCACAGUCUCUGGAUCAUCCGCAGACAAAUCAACUGCAGCUGUAAUUAUACCCAAACAGCAUUCUUUGAUAGGUAGUCAUUUGAAAACUGCAGGAGCUCAACAGUGGUCCCCCCCUCCCACUGGGUGUGGUUUGCUUUCUAUAGAGUUCUGUAAUCGUGACUCCGCAUUUCAUUCCUCUUUGCUGCGCUGAGUUUACAGAACUCUACUACAGGCUCAUAAAUGAGCUCUGAAACCAUGGCUACAGUCACCGUAGAAUAUUGUAAAGGAUGAGGUUACGCAUACCGCUACCAGGAACUAGCCAGUACCAUCAGGCAGGUUCCUGGUGUGAAGGUGAACGGAGUCGUGGGGAGAAAGAACAGUUUUGAGGUGACACUGAAUGGGCAGCUGAUCUACUCCAAGCUCAGUACAGGACAGUUUCCUGAUAAUGAGCAGGUGGCAGCGAUGGUGAGGAAGAUGGUUGGUGGAGGACAAGUGCAGAAAAAAUCGAAGUCUCACAAAACUAAAUGCGCUCAACAUUAGGAGGCGGAGGAUGAAACGAGCUGUAUUCACACUGACAGAACGAUGGUUUGGUUUGUUUGUUGUUUUUUUUCUGUCUCACACGCACUUUUUUGAAUGCAAAACUCAAUUUACCCAUUGAAAUAUGACAUGAAAACAGUCUAAACAUUUUAAUCGUUGGUCAUUAAAGCCUCUCUCUGUGUGACAAGGGAAAAGAUCAGACCACACAGUGUCUUCACUGUGAAUACAGACACAGACGACAGGUUGACGAAAGCAACUCAGAGGGUUCUGGCACUGAUCUGCACUUCUGUUUAUGAAUGUACACGCUUAAAAAAACGGGGGUGUGUACACGAUGCAAGUCUAGAAGCCUUUCAUCUGACCAGAGUCUGAAGAUGUGCUCGCAUCACGUCUGUCUGGCAUUGAUACGUAAACCUCUCAUGCAUUUACUUGGAAUGGAAAAAAAAACAGCUCUUUAUCAAGCCUCAGAUAUUUUCUAAUAUGAUUCUCUGUUUAAAUAACUCUGUGAUAUGAUUGACUACAUAUUUAAAAGGCAUUUUUGGAAAUAAAUUUAUUUGCUUUUUUGCCAAAAGUAGGCAGGAUGAGAAGAUUUAUACACACUAUAGUGAUGUGUAUACCAUAAAUAAAUAAAACACUACUACUAGCAGCUGUUUGCUUAGCUUAGCACAGUCACUGGAUACAGGGAGAAACGGCUAGCUCGACUAGCUCCCUAAUUAACAUGUUAUAUCUUUUUUGUUUGAUGCAUUUAAAACCUUUGUAAAGUAUAAAAAAUGACAAAUUGCAAAUAGACAUUAUUUUAUUAUAAUAUGGUGGUGCUGUUAGUUACAUUUUCGUGACUUUGGACAGAGCCAAGCUAACUGCUAGCUGUUUCCGGUCUUUAUGCUAACAUAUGCUAACAGGCUGCUAGCUGUAGCCUCAUACAUAUGGUACAGGCAUGAAAGGCAAGGCAAGUUUAUUUGUAUAACACCAUUCAUACGCAACUCAAGGUGCUUUACAGGGGCAUAGAAAUACAUUUAGAAAGGAACACUGAAGUUAAAAUUACAGUAUAAUUUCAAGAUAUGAAGACAUUAAAAUAGACAUUAAAAUCAGAGAUAUGGUUUAAAGCCAAUAAAGGUGCAUUUUAACGUACAAGAAUGAAAAAUUUAAGAACUAAGAUGAUUUGUCUGAGAAAGCUGUCGUAAACAACACUGUUUUCAGACCUGAUUUAAAUGAGAUGACAGUUUUAACAGUUUGUCCUAUAGCCGAGGUGCAUAAUAACUGAAUGCUGCUUCACUUUGUUUGGCUUUGGUUCUGGGGACACACAAUGAGCCUGUUCCUGAUGACCUGAGAGGUCCAAGACCAAAAUACAUGAAAGUAGUAUAGAUCUUCUCAUCAAACUCAACAAGAAAGUGGAUAAGGGUAUUUCCAAAAUUUCAAACUACUUUUGGUGUGGGUGUUGUAAAACAGAAUAUACAUUGCAAAAUUUUAUUUCACAUUUAAAUUAUGCCUAUCUAGAUUGUCAGUCAUCCAUGGUCUGGUAAAUGGUGUCCAUCUUAUCGCAUCCCUCCUUCAUGGUAGUCCUAAGUGCUUAAGUACAAGUGGUGAUAACUACCUGAUAAAUCAACACCACUAAUCAGUUACUUAUAAUGCAGUCUUGAAAUCCCUCCCUGGACAGUUUCACCACCAUUAAUACCUUCAGUCAUCCCAACCAGCCACACCUGGUGUGAGUGUUUGGUUGCUAACCGGUCGUUAGCCAUUAGCCAUUUGGGUGCGACUAUCUGACCCAAUCAGUCAGCUGGAACUGAAGAAGCUUCUUGGAUGAAAGACGAAACAAUUUUAAGAACCAAAAACAGUCCAGUUGCUGUCUACUAAAGCACGUAGGACUCCUAUUUGGAAAAAAUAUUGAGCGUCUCAGUGCUCUCGAAGAGCCUUAACACAACCUGAAAGUGAACCCUUUCUUUGACAUAUUGUAUCAAGUACAUAUCAUAUUGAGUAUUUAAAAUGCAUAGCUGUCAUAUAUGACCUACUAUUUGAAAAACAAUACAUGGAAGUAUUAUUACCAGGAUGAUGCUGUGAGCUAAGUACUGUGUAUGUGCUGCCAUUUGUUACCAUUCUGGCAUUUUAGAAUUUGAAAAUCAGACUAAAAUCUUAAUUUGAAUCAUGUUACUGUAUUGUAUUGUUAUACUGUUACCCAUUUUGUAACCACUUUUUUUCCCAGAAUUGCAAUAAAACAUCACUGACUAAUUGAAAAGAAGCUA